CAUUAAAUAUAAUGAACUAGGAGUCCCAAUAAAAUACAAAGCUAGACUGGUUGCAAGAGGAUUUACUCAAAAGUACCAAGUAGACUAUGAAGAAACAUUUGCUCCCGUUGCUAGAAUUGCCAGUUUUAGGUUCGUAAAAUCAUUGGCAGUCCAGUUUAAUUUGAAAGUCCAUCAGAUGGAUGUUAAAACAGCUUUCCUCAAUGGUACAUUAAGUGAGGAGAUAUAUAUGCGGCCUCCUCAGGGCGUAUCAUGCGGUGCUGGGCAUGUAUGCAAACUGAACAAAGCCAUUUAUGGGCUCAAACAAGCAGCUAGAUGCUGGUUUCAAGUAUUUGAGCAAGCAUUGAAAGAAUUCGAUUUUGUAAACUCUCCCGUGGAUCGUUGCAUAUAUAUUCUUGAUAGAGGUGACAUAAAGAAAAACAUAUAUGUAUUAUUAUAUGUUGAUGAUGUAGUAAUAGCGACAAGGGAUAUGGAUAGAAUGAAUAAUUUCAAAAAGUAUUUAAGCGAAAGAUUUAGAAUGACUGACUUAAAUGAGAUAAAACAUUUUAUCGGUAUCAGAGUAGAAAUGUUUGAAGAAAAAAUAUAUUUGAGUCAAGCUGCAUAUGUGAAAAGAAUAGCAAUUUAGUCAGUACUCCAUUACUAAAUAAACUAAAUUAUGAGUUACUUAACUCAGAUGAAGACUGCAAUGCUCCAUGUCGUAACCUUAUUGGCUGUUUAAUGUACAUAAUGCUGUGUACACGACCAGAUUUAGCUGCCGCUGUAAAUAUCUUGAGUAGAUAUAGUAGCAAGAACAAUGCUGAGUUAUGGCAAUGUUUAAAAAGGGGUUAUUAGAUAUUUAAAGGAACUAUUGAUAUGAAGCUUAUAUUUAAAAAGAAUACAUCAUUUGAAAAUACAUUAGUUGGCUAUGUAGACUCCGAUUGGGGUAGUAAUGAGAUUGAUAGAAAAAGUACAGCGGGUUAUUUGUUUAAAAUGUUCGAUUCCAAUUUAAUUUGUUGGAAUACAAAAAUACAGAAUUCAGUGGCAGCUUCAUCAACUAAAGCUGAAUAUAUGGCCCUAUUUGAAGCUGUAAGAGAAGCUUUAUAGCUAAAGUCUCUUCUAAAUAGUAUUAAUCUUAAACUCGACAGACCCAUUAACAUUUAUGAAGACAACCAAGGCUGUAUUAGCAUUGCAAAUAAUCCCUCAUGUCAUAAAAGAGCAAAGCAUAUUGAUAUAAAAUAUCAUUUUUCAAGAGAAGAGAUAGAAACUAAUGAGAUUUCUCUUGAGUAUAUUAAUACAGACAACCAACUUGCUCACAUCUUCACGAAGCCACUACCUGCUGGAAGAUUUGCGGAACUGCGGAACAAUUUAGGACUACUACAAGAAGAAUGAUUCCAAUUUAAGGAAAACAUGAACAUGAUGCUUUAUUAACAAAUUUAUUACAUUAAUUCAUUUUUAAUUUUUUUUUUAUUUUUUGAUUUGAACCAAAAGAACCAAUGAAUUGUUAAAGUAAUUUAAUUUUAUGUUAAUCUAAUUUUAAAGUGAUCUGAUCGGGUUUUUCUGGGUUUAGAGCAAAUGCUAGAUCACAUAACACUUCCCAGAAUGCACACCAACCACAUUAGAAUAACAAUAGAAUGUUACCUUUUUGAUUUAAUGAUGAAAAAAUUUUUUUUUAUUUUUAUGAUUUUGAUGAUUAAUGUUAUUUUUGAGGGGGGCGUGUUGGAAUACGCCUAUUCCCACAUUCAAAUAAUAACAUUAAAUACUAUUAAAUAAUACUAUCGAUAUAUUAAGUAUUAUUAUGUAAAGUUAGUCUGGUCACACCUGAAGUGUCCACUUCCUCUUUCCUUUCUGAUCACGAAUCGAAUGUACGUGGUACCGGUGUUGCAGUGAAAAAGUAAUCAAGAAAUACAUAAAUAAUCUUUAAAGAAAAAUAUAACUUGGUACUGUCAUUCGUUUACUAAUUGUCAUAGCUAGUUAUCCAAUAACUUGCAAACGAACAUUUUUGUUUUGCUUUUCACGAUUCAUUUUAAGCUUCAAUAGUCUAACCGUAUAGAAUUCACAAAAAUUGAUAGUUGCCAUAAGCAUCACACGUACAAGCACGCAUACAUACGCAAAAGACACUUUGUUCGUUCACUCGCGACAAGA